rfam:Caenorhabditis briggsae complete genome, chrIV
UUUCGGAUCUCCGUAGUUUUGACCAUUUUAUCCAACCUAAUAAUGUGAUAAAUGCAUCUUAACUGCGGUGAUCUGGAU